GGAGAAUUGGCCGAGUGGUUGAAGGCGCACGCCUGGAAAGCGUGUAACGGUCAAAAGCCGUUCGCAGGUUCGAAUCCUGUGUUCUCCGCCA
rnacentral:tRNA from 1 species